ensembl:snRNA Gm26164 predicted gene, 26164
GUGUUCACUACAGCAGCACAUAUACUAAAAUUGGAACCACACAGAGAUUAGCAUGGCCCCUAUGCAAGGAUGACACACAAAUUCGUGAAGCAUUCUAUCUUUCU